AUCCGGAUGGUAGAAUUUUUCAAAUACAAUAUCAAGUCACCAAGAAGAAGGCAGGGAAGUGUUCGAAGCUUCCGCCCUGACUGUUUCUGAAUUCUCACACAAAACGUGAAGAUGUAGAAAAUCGCUACCUUAUAUUAUAAUAUCUUUACCAA